AUGAACCGCUAUGGUAUGCCAUUCAUACCUUUUGUUGGUCUUAACAAUCACCGGAAGACCACUGUUUUUGGUUGUGCCAUAGUUUUGGACGAGACCGAGGAGACAUACGUGUGGCUUCUGCAGACGUUUUUGAGGUCCAUGUGUCAAAAGAUGCCUAAGAGUGUAAUCACAGACGCCGACACUGCGAUGAUCAAGGCAAUUCGCGAAGUCUUGCCAGACGUGUGGCACCGUAUAUGUACGUGGCACAUAGAGAAAAAUAUGAAGAUUCACCUCAGUCACAAGUCCUUGAAGGAGUUCCGAACUCUUCUG
rnacentral:rRNA from 1 species